rnacentral:rRNA from 1 species
UACAGAGGUCCCGAGCGUUGUUCGGAUUCAUUGGGCGUAAAGGGUGCGUAGGCGGCUUGCACCGUCAGAUGUGAAAUUCCUGGGCUUAACCUGGGGGCUGCAUUUGAUACGUGUGGGCUUGAGUGCGGAAGAGGGUCGUGGAAUUCCCAGUGUAGAGGUGAAAUUCGUAGAUGUUGGGAAGAACACCGGUGGCGAAGGCGGCGACCUGGUCCGUGACUGACGCUGAGGCGCGAAAGCGUGGGGAGCAAACAGG